GAGGAUGGGAUGCGUGAAAACUCCAACUCCAAAAAGUGAUUCAACAGCUGACAUUAUAUCGAUCAUUACUGCGUACAGCAUUUCUACUUUGACGCUUGGUACAACCAAAGCACAAUUUAAUUCCACAAAAGGAUCGUAAAAGGAAAACGAAGAACCUCAUUCAGAAGGG